AUUGAACGCUGGCGGCAGGCCUAACACAUGCAAGUCGAACGAGUGGCGGACGGGUGAGUAAUGUCUGGGAAACUGCCCGAUGGAGGGGGAUAACUACUGGAAACGGUAGCUAAUACCGCAUACCAUCGGAUGUGCCCAGAUGGGAUGAGCUAGUAGGUGGGGUAACGGCUCACCUAGGCGACGAUCCCUAGCUGGUCUGAGAGGAUGACCAGCCACACUGGAAUGGAGACACGUGCCAGACUCCUACUGGAGGCAGCAUUUGGGAAUAUUGCACAAUGGUCGCAAGCCUGAGGCAGCCAUGCCGCGUGUAUGAAGAAUGCCUUCGGGUUGUAAAGUACUUUCAGAGAGGAGGCGUUACUCGCAGAAGAAUCACCGGCUAACUCCGUGCCAGCAGCCGCGGUAAUAC
rnacentral:rRNA from 1 species